CAGCUGAUGGCAGUGAUUGGCUCAGAGGGUUGUUCAGCUAGAUAGUAGUUCACGGGUUCAUCAGGCUGGUUUUUGUUUUUUUUGUUUUUAAAAUAUCAUU